rnacentral:rRNA from 1 species
GACGAACCGUGCGAACGUUAUUCGGAAUCACUGGGCUUAAAGCGCGUGUAGGUGGGACGUCACGUCGGUCGCUGAAAGCCCCCGGCUCAACCGGGGAACGGGCGCCGAUACGACCGCCCUCGAGGAACGUAGGGGGAGCUGGAACUUCCGGUGGAGCGGUGAAAUGCGUUGAGAUCGGAAGGAACGCCCGUGGCGAAAGCGAGGUCCUGGACGUUUACUGACGCUGAGACGCGAAAGCCAGGGGAGCGAACCGG